UUUUACUUCCCGGGCGCUGAGGCCAAAGCCGCCCCUCCCCGGUACGGCCGAGGGGCCUUGGAAAGCCGGGUUUAGCCCUGGCCGAGAGCCGCUGGCCUUGGGAGGACCUCUGAUCUGGUCCCGCCUCUGCCGCUUGCGCUGUGUGGCCGUGGCCGAGUCAUUUCUACAUUGACUAUCUGUAUCCCUGCUGGCAUCCAGUGAAUAUUGAUGGAAUGACACAUGAAUAAUGUGUGUUCUAGAGCCAGUGGUGUGCUGAUAAAUGUUCGACAGCCGACUCUCUGGAGGGAAGAGAGCAAUAUAUGCAUAUAUAUGGUACAUAAAUUUAUUCCAAAUUUCACUGAUAUAAAGGAUGUAGAGCACACAAUUUACAAAUAAUAAUAGUACAAUUGCAAAUUCCAUAUAACUCGUUGAUUCUCAAGAAUCCUUUCAUUGGGGCGCCUGGCUGGCUCAGUCCAUAGAGCAUACGACUUUUGAUCUCGGGGUUGUGAGCCCCGCGUUGGGUGUAGACAUUACUUAAAAAUAAGAAUCUUUUUCUUCAGGUUUAUUUAUUUGAUUUUUGAGGGGGGGGGGGAAUCCCAAAAUCAGUGCUGUCGGUGUGGAGCCCUAUGCAGGGCUCGAUCUCACUAACCAGGAGAUCAUAACCUGAGCCAGAAUCAGGAGUUGGAUGCUUAACUGACUGAGCCACCCAAGAACCCCAAAAAUAAAAAUUAAAAAAAAAGAAUCCUUUCAUUGAUUUUUGGCAGACUCUUGUAUGGGUAGCCUGUGGUAUGAAAUUGCAGCAUGAAUGUUGGUUGAUGGUCUCCUCAAUGUCAGUGUGAGAGGAGAGUGAAAAAAAGAGUGUCUUGUUAUGGGAGUGACUUGCUUGCUGAAUCAGAAAACAGUUUUCAAAUACUGAAAGAACAUCUCCUCAGUUUCUUUGCUAUUCACAUUGUAAUGGCGAUAGGCAUACAUAGCACAUUAAAUUAAAAUGUAAACUGUUAACUUUUUUUCUAUCACGUUCUUAAAUCUAGAUAAUCGACAAAACAAUAAAUCAAGGCCCUGAUUUGUAGCAUUUGCUGAUAUCCAUGGUGUAAAUACUCCCACCAUGGCUGAUUUCAAUCUGCCGCACACAUUGUUACUGAACAAAAGAGAGGAGUGGUAACAUACCCUUUUGUAGCAGUUUCCUCAUGCAGGCACAAUAACAACUCCAAGAGCAUAGUGGCUGUGUUUAACAAUUUGGCUUGCAAAAUUCCUGAAGUGUUAACAGUUGGCCUUCGCAGUCCUGGACAAGCCAGCUCCCCAGCACCUUUACGCCUCAGUUUUCUCAUCUGCAAAGUAGGGAUAAGGACCGCUGCUUCACUUACUUGCAGGCCUGUUGUGAAGAUCAAAUAAGCUACCUCUCAGGUGUCACUCAGAUUUCUGGAGAGAAGAAGAGAAGUUGCUAUAGGAUCACAGAACACUUGAAGCCAAAGGAGAUCACCCAAGAUCCUUGGCUGUCUCUGGCAAACCUUUCUGGCCCCGGAACAGGUUAGCCCAUGAAUGCAAGGUCUGUAGCUGUGCAACGCCCUCUGCUGUCCAGCUACUUUCUUGGUUGGGGAGGGAAGCUAUGUCCCCACCUGGCGUGUCCCCAUCUGGGGUAUCUCGGCUCUCCUCCAGAGCACACAGAAGCACAGGGAAACGC